GAAGCCGGAAUUGCUAGUAAUGGCAGGUCAGCAUACUGCCGUGAAUACGUUCCCGGGCCUUGUACACACCGCCCGUCACACCAUGAGAGUUGGGGAUACCCGAAGCCUGUGAGCUAACUUAUAGAGGCAGCAGUCGAAGGUAGAAUCAAUGAUUGGGGUGAAGUCGUAACAAGGUAUC
rnacentral:rRNA from 1 species